rnacentral:rRNA from 1 species
AAGAGCCCCGCGAGAGACAAGGCCUAGGAACCAGACAAGAGGGUGAGAAGGCCCAGCGAGCGCUACCCAGCCCACAAGUGGGUGACCUAGCCUACUUAUCGGGGCGAGUCACUGGAGGACGGCAGGCAGGAACCAGUUGGCAUUCUUGACGGCGGCGGCUUCUUCCCCUUUCUCCCCUUCCUUUCCCUCCUUAGAACCAUAGCUACUUCAGAUUUGGUGUAAUUCAGAGAACACUACUGUACUAGAUCGACCGAGAGCGUAACAGAUGCACACCAUGACAACCAUCGAUUUGGCCUCUUGCGGGGAUCCUACAUCGCUCUCUCCAGCAGCACACGCCUCCUCCUAGGAAGAACGUCACCUGUGUUUCAACGCAACACCGGGACACCGUCGGUGAGCUCUCCAUUGCAGCCCCGGUGAGCUACAUCACAACUCCGAGACCUCUGGUGAGCGCUCCAUUGCAGCGUUGGGAACGCCGGCGAGCUCUCCAUUGCAACACCAGGAGGGAGCGUCGGACCGCUCCAUUGCAGCUCCGACGAGAGGCAUCGCAGCUCCGAGACCUCUGGCGAGCGCUCCAUUGCAGCGUUGGGAACGCCGGCGAGCUCUCCAUUGCAACACCAGGAGGGAGUGUCGGACCGCUCCAUUGCAGCUCCGGCGAGAUGAAUCGCAGUUCCGAGACCUCCGGCGAGCGCUCCAUUGCAGCGUUGGGGACGCCAGCGAGCUCUCCAUUGCAACACCGGGAGGGAGCGCCCGGCCUCUCCAUUGCAGCUCCGGCGAGACGCAUCACAGCUCCGAGACCUCCGGCGAGCGCUCCAUUGGAGCGUUGGGAACGCCGGCGAGCUCUCCAUUGCAACACCUGGAGGAGGAGUCAGACCGCUCCAUUGCAGCUCCGACGAGAUGCAUCGCAGCUCCGAGACUUCCGGUGAGCGCUCCGUCGGAAGCGCCGGUGAGCUCUCCCUUGCAGCACCGGGAGGGAGCACUAGCGAGCUCUCCAUUGCAGCCAUGCAGCACCACCGAAGUUGCUACCCCGCCGUCACAGAAAGACAUAGCAGUAAUUUCCCGUCGCUGCUACACAAACGCCGCCCGCCGCGGCCGCCGUUGUAGCAAUGGUGCUGCUGCAAAAAAAACAAGCGUUGCAUGCUGAGAGGGGGCACACCAGAACCUUGCAGCCGAGGGCCGGAGUCGCCCUGCCCCGGCCUUCCAACAGUCGUGCUGUUGUGGUCGCCGUCGUCGCCCUUCCCCUUUUUCAGUCGCAGCCCGUGGCGAAGAUGCACCGGUGAUUUGGUUGAGUCGUCCUGUCUGCGUUUGACGGGGUUGGGCGGAGGAUGCAUCAAGGCGGCGGCCGGCGGCAGCCCCUGCCGAUUCCUAGCUGCUGUGGUGGUGCUUUUCAUGGGUCCUUUCAUCUGGCUCAGGGAAGAAAA